rnacentral:tRNA from 1 species
CAGAGCGUAGCUAAAUUAUUAAAGCCUCUCCCUUACACCGAGAAGAUGCCUGUGCAAAUCAGACCGCACUGA